AUUGAACGCUGGCGGCAGGCCUAACACAUGCAAGUCGAACGGUAACAGGAAGAAGCUUGCUUCUUUGCUGACGAGUGGCGGACGGGUGAGUAAUGUCUGGGAAACUGCCUGAUGGAGGGGGAUAACUACUGGAAACGGUAGCUAAUACCGCAUAACGUCGCAAGACCAAAGAGGGGGACCUUCGGGCCUCUUGCCAUCGGAUGUGCCCAGAUGGGAUUAGCUAGUAGGUGGGGUAACGGCUCACCUAGGCGACGAUCCCUAGCUGGUCUGAGAGGAUGACCAGCCACACUGGAACUGAGCCACGGUCCAGACUCCUACGGGAGGCAGCAGUGGGGAAUAUUGCACAAUGGGCGCAAGCCUGAUGCAGCCAUGCCGCGUGUAUGAAGAAGGCCUUCGGGUUGUAAAGUACUUUCAGCGGGGAGGAAGGGAGUAAAGUUAAUACCUUUACUCAUUGACGUUACCCGCAGAAGAAGCACCGGCUAACUCCGUG
rnacentral:rRNA from 1 species